UACGGGGGGGGGCAAGCGUUGUUCGGAAUUACUGGGCGUAAAGCGUGCGCAGGCGGCUUUGCAAGACAGAUGUGAAAUCCCCGGGCUCAACCUGGGAACUGCAUUUGUGACUGCAAGGCUGGAGUACGGCAGAGGGGGGAUGGAAUUCCGCGUGUAGCAGUGAAAUCGCGUAGAUAUGCGGAGGAACACCGAUGGCGAAGGCAACUCCCCUGGGCCUGUACUGACGCUCCAUGCACGAAAG
rnacentral:rRNA from 1 species